GCUGGGGAUGAGGUGACACCUCCCCUCACCGCCCCCAGCACAGGCAAUAAACACCAGCCCCAGUCUCUGCUGCUGGGACUGGGGGUGCUCGGCGUCCUGGCUGUGGGCUCACAGGGAGGGCACCUGCAGAGGGACAUCCACAUCCCCCGGCACUGGCAGGGAGCUCCCUCCUGCUCAGCACCAACACCUGGAGAUGGGGCCAGAAAUGGAAAAAGACCCUUUCUUCCUCCUCCUCGAGCCAUCAAGGUUAUUCCAGAGGCAGGUGAAACACACUGCCUCCCAGACUUGUCAGGAAACCCCUCCUGCUCCUGCUCACCCUCACGAAGGGGACCUGCAGAGCAUCAUCUCAAAAGAAGGAAACCUGAUGGGAACCAGAAAUGAGGGGCUGCUCCUGAGGCAGGGGAAGGGACAGGAGGGUUUUGGGGUAACCUGUCCCCAGCACGAGCUGCAGCUGCUGCCCCAACGUCAGGGAAGGGAGCGAUGAUCAAAGGAACUUUUCCAUCCCUGGUCUCUGCCUGGACUCCCCUCUCGCUGUAAAAGCUCUCUCAGAAGUUUAAAAAUAAAAUUCCCUUCCGGAGCCA